rnacentral:rRNA from 1 species
UACAGAGGUCUCAAGCGUUUGUUCGGAUUCAUUGGGCGUAAAGGGUGCGUAGGUGGCGCGCUAAGUCAGGUGUGAAAUUUCGGAGCUUAACUCCGAAACUGCAUUUGAUACUGGCGUGCUUGAGGACUGGAGAGGAGACUGGAAUUCAUGGUGUGGCAGUGAAAUGCGUAGAGAUCAUGAGGAAGACCAGUGGCGAAGGCGGGGUCUCUGGACAGUUCCUGACACUGAGGCACGAAGGCCAGGGGGAGCAAACGGG